AUUACUUGAACUGAUUACCUCUCGGAUCUAGUUGGCCAGACAGCAUCAGGUUUCUGGACCUUUCUAAAGGUCAUGCCAGGCGGCCUUAAAAUAGCCACUAUAUCUAAAAACAGGCAACAGACUAAGCAAAUAUAUUCAGGGCAAUCAUCUACAACAUUGUGCCCAGUCUUAAGACUAACCCAGGCAAUCAAAGAAGAGGCUGAUUCGCACCUGCUCCUCGCUUUACCUCACACAUGGGGCCGAAGAUUAAGUUUCGCAAACAAAAGAAAUAUCGCAGCGAUGUAAUCGCGACUGCUCAGGCGUCAGGACUUAUCCUCCAGUUCUGGAAUGCGCUUCUGGUCGGAGAUGACCUCACUGUUAUUAGUAUCGUUGAUGACCCAGAAUAUGCUUAUCUCUUAGAUGCCAUAUAUGACACCAGCAACAUAGAGGAGUGGAAGAACUUCAGAUUCAACUACAGAGGGCUAAGACUGUGGUCAUUGACGUACGAACAAGAGCUGACCACGCCACUGCACAUCACCGCUGGCCAGGGUUUCACCGAAUGUCUGCGGCAUCUCCUAAUGCGGGGCGCUCGAGUGGACCUGGCACCUGGGGGCACCACUGCCCUGCAUGAGGCCUGUGAGGAGUGCCAGCCCGAGUGUGUCAAGCUGUUGCUGCAGCACGGAGCCAAUCCCAACGCAACCAAUGAAGACGGCCAGAUGCCCCUGCACGUGUGCACAGAACUCGAUUCACUUGAGUGUGCCAAACAUCUACUAGCAUUCGGUGCUUUGAUCAACGGUCAGAGCUUGGAUGAUAACGACACACCCCUUCAUGUGGCGGCCCGCCAUAGCCUUCCUGAUCACAUGGAGCUCUACUUACGACACGGAGCUGCACUUAACCUACAAAACGAGGAAGGAAACACAGCGCUGAACGCCGCCUGCUCCCAGCCGCAGGACUGCGCGUCUCUGGAGCGCUACAGCCGUGUUUGCCACAUGCUGGUAUCUGCUGGGGCGGACAUACAUAUCAGUGACGCGGACAAGCAGACUCCACUGCACAUGGCAUGUAAGAACGCCAUCCCUGACGUGGUGGAUCUGCUGCUGAAGUAUAAAGCCUUGGUCAACGAAAUGGAUUACGGCGGCGACGCACCGAUGCAUAACAUCCUGAAGGCGGUGGCCUACAAGAUGGACCAUGAGCCCGAGAGGAUUGUACAGGCUCUUCUCAAUUACGGAUCCAUCAGGGUGUGGCCUGGAGCUCUGCCCAAGGUGUUGAAAUAUUGCUGCACAUCUCCAAGAACAAUAGAAGUGCUCUUCAACGCAUACGACCGCCUCAAAAUCACUGAAGCCUGGGUAGAAUCUGUACCUCCUGAGGUGUUUCAGAAACACCGGGAAUUCUACGAAUCCCUGUUUGCACUGAUGCAGACUCCUCGAUCUCUACAGCAUCUGGCUCGUCACAGACUCCGAACAUUUCUGGAAGGUCGCUUGCACAACGUGAUCCCUAAACUGAGUCUACCAACCUUUCUUAAAAAUUACCUAAUGCUGGCAUUCAGAGACUAUAUGCACUGACAGAGACCACAAACCUGACCCUGUACAACACAGAGUACAGUAUAAGCAUGCAGUGAUUGAGUUUUGUACUAUAAAGUCAUUGAGUUUUGUUUUAUUCUGUGUGAUUCUGAAUGAUUUGUGUUGGAAAACUGUCCUGUCUUUACCGAAGAUGAAUGAUACAAUAAUUUUAUAGGGAAUCAAUAAAUGGAGGUGAUGCUUAUAAUGCC